rnacentral:tRNA from 4 species
UCUAAUAUGGCAGAUUAGUGCAAUGAAUUUAAGCUUCAUAUAUAAAGAUUAUUCUUUUUUUAGAA